rnacentral:lncRNA from 1 species
AUGCCAGUCCCAGUGCCGAUACUGGUCCCAGUUCCAUCCCAGUGCCAUCCCAGUACCAAUACUGGUGCUGUCCCAGUUCUAGUCCCAGUUCCAGUGCCCAUACUGGUCCCAGUUCUGAUACUGGUUCCAGUCCCAUCCCAGUGCCAUCCCAGUACCGAUACUGGUCCCGGUGCUGAUGCCAGUCCCAGUGCCAAUACUGGUCCCAGUUCCAUCCCAGUACCAAUACUGGUUCUGAUGUCAUCCCAGUUCCAUUCCAGUUCCGUCCCAGUACCGAUACUGGUCCCAGUGCUGAUGCCAGUCCCAGUUCCAGUUCCGAUACUGAUCCCAGUGCCAGUCCCAGUGCCGAUACUGGUCCUGGUGCCGUCCCAGUUCCAUCCCAGUCCCGAUACUGGUGCUGUUCCAGUGCCAUCCCAGUGCCGAUACCGCUCCCAGUGCCGGGCUUUUGGGGUUCCAGUGCCAUUUUUGGGGUGCCGGGGUGGGUUUUGGGGUGCAAGUGGGGGUUUUUGGGGUGUCGGGGGUGCCAGUUUUGGGGUGUCCAGGUUUUGGGGUGCGGGGGCCAAUUUUGGGGUGUCUUUGGGGGUUUUGGGGUGUCGAUGUUGAUGUCAUUGUGUUGGGAUGUCAAUGUUGGGUGUUGGGGUUGAUGCCGGUUUUGGGGUGCAGUCGCUGGGAUUUUUGGGGUGCAGGUGGGGGUUUUUGGGUGCUGUGGGUGCCAGUUUUGGGGUGCCCAGGUUUUGGGGUGCGGGGGCCAAUUUUGGGGUGUCUGGGAGGGGUUUUGGGGUGUCGAUGUCGAUGUCAAUGUAUUGGGAUGUCAAUGUUGGGUGUC